CUCAGCUGUUUGCCUACGUUUGCGCCAUUACAGUCUCACGCACAACGCGCUGGAUGCACACCUGGAAGCGGACAUCGAAAUGGUCGGCAAUACAUACUGUGAGAAUUAUGCUCUAAGUCUUCCUGGCACGUUUGAAAUGUGCAACCAGAAAGAAUGCGGGCGUUAGAAAGCUGGAGAGUGGAUUUUGUGUCGUUGUUUUAAACGCAACACGAUCAUACAAAAGCGUGAAGUCAAAUGUCGCUUUGCGAAUGGCACUGAGGUGACGGACGCCUGCAGUGCGCCACAGCGUCCAAGGGGUUCAGCAUGUGGGACCAUUGUCCGAGUGCAAUGCGCAAUGCGGUCGGAAUUAAAUACCGCAUUUUCUAGUUUGUUAGGUAUGGCACGCGUCGACCUGCGGACCAUUCUAGUCGUAAUCAGCCGCGUUCAGAAGUUAUGAAAGUAUGUAAGAGCCCACCAUGCUUUGCAAAAACUUUUUAUCAAUGCACGGACACUUCCCGGUAUUGUCGCAAUAUACGCUCGAUAUGUUUGUAAAGACAGUUACAAAAAGAAUUAAUACAAGUCUUGUCAAUUCAAUGCGUAAUACAAUGAACAACAAUAAACAUUGGUGAGGCAAUUAGUUACUAAUUAAUUGACUGAUGAUUUUAAGCAUUAUGAUGUCUACUUACAAUGU